GAAAUAUAAGUAUUAUAUUGCAAAUUAAAUAGAAUAUAAUCUUAGUUUAAUUAGAAAGAAAAAAUGGUGCAGAAGAAGAUUGCAUUUUGUUGGGAAAUAGUUAUGUUGAUUAUUUUUAUGCUUCUAUUGGCUUCUUCAAGUGCCUCAAGAGAUCUAACAAAUCCCAAACUUUACAACAAAGUUAGGAGGUUGUCAUUUGAUGAUCCUCACGAUGGUAACUACAUACACAAAGGAGGAUCAUGAUUAUAUAAUAAGUAAUUAAUUAUGUACCCAUAUUAUGGUUAUGUAUUUUAUUUUCUUGUUUCUUGUUUCUCGUUUUUCAUAUUUUAUGUUUUCUAUGUGUGCUUAAAUCCAACUAUAUACUAUGGGUAAUCAUCCUCUUUGAAUAAUGCAAUAUUAUGUUGUAAAUUA